rnacentral:lncRNA from 1 species
UUCUAGCUCCUCUUCUCAUUAGUGAUGUAAUUCCCUCAGGAAUCUCCUCAUAAAGAAAGACAUCUGUUUCCAUUUUCUUCUUAGAGGAACAGGAUCUCUAUACAUCAUUGAAUAGAUUAGUGUCAUGAGUGUUAGCACUUUCCAUGAAGCACAAUCCCAAAGACCAUGAAAAAUUGAGAUCCGCAGAGGAGAGGAUGGAAAGUGUUUCCCCCACACCACAGGGUGUUUUACUGCUGCUGCUGCUGUUUAAGUUGCAUCUUUUCAACAAAGUUGACUCUCUCCCUACAAAGGAAAGUUUGUAUCAGCUACUGAGAAGACUUGGACUGGAACUUACUUCACCAGAUCUCAUGGUUCUUGGGCCUUCAGACUCAGGUUGGAACUAUGCUAUCAGCUUUCCUGGAUCUCCAGCUUGCUGACUACACAAUCUAGGACUUCUCAGCCUUUGUAAUUGUGAGGAACAAAUUGUUCUACAGAAAAUGAAGGAAACUCCAAAUGUUCAAGAGACUGGGGAUGAUAUAUGAAAGCUUUCACCAUUAGGAUAAAAAAGAGCAAGAAUAGCUCACAUACCAUGUGAACCACUUUUGGGAAUCAGAUGUGUACAUUCCAAAGUAAAAUGACUUCAGUGUAUAUAUACAAGGAUGAUAAAUGUCCUGCUGAGAACAGCGGCAAAACAACAAGAAGAACCACCGUAAAGCUCCUGCACAUACUUAUAUACUGAAUAGGACCAUGAAAAAGUGCUUAAGCUCAAACAGGAAUACUUCUAUGAUUAUGUGAAGAAGCCUGGGCUAGCCUGCUGAAGGAUGAAGGACCAUGUAGAAAGCAGCCUCAGCUAUUCCAGUCCGGUGGAGUUGACAGAUGAUUUUCCACAAAGUAAUGGGUAGAGCACUUACAUUUUCUCUUCCAUCAAG